UAUUACCGUGGAAUAGUCGAAGUGUUGGCU
rnacentral:piRNA from 1 species